UGGCGGCGAGAGCGCGGUGGUCCCACCUGACCCCAUGCCGAACUCAGAAGUGAAACGCCGUAGCGCCGAUGGUAGUGUGGGGUCUCCCCAUGCGAGAGUAGGGAACUGCCA
rnacentral:rRNA from 1 species